rnacentral:rRNA from 1 species
CACGUAGGGACCAAGCGUUGUCCGGAUUCAUUGGGCGUAAAGAGCGUGUAGGCGGCCAGGUAGGUCGGUUGUGAAAACUGGAGGCUCAACCUUCAGAGGUCGACCGAAACCAUCUGGCUAGAGUCCGGGAGAGAAGAGUGGAAUUCCACGUGUAGCGGUGAAAUGCGUAGAGAUGUGGAGGAACACCAGUGGCGAAGGCGACUCUUUGGCCUGUAACUGACACUGAGGCGCGAAAGCGUGGGGAGCAAACAGG